CAGAGUUACUAAAACUCCCAAACCCAUGUGAACAUACCUCGCGUUGCCUCGGCAGGUCGCGUCCUACCCUGUACAUCCUACCCUGGAUGGACUUGCCCGGUGGUCGACUCUGCCCUGCCGACGGCCCAUGCAACUCUGUUUUUUUUAGCAUUGGACUUCUGAAAAAGUAAACUAAAUCAGUUA
rnacentral:misc_RNA from 1 species